CGCUAGGAUGAACGCUGGCGGCGUGCCUAACACAUGCAAGUCGAGCGAUUACUUCGGUAAAGAGCGGCGGACGGGUGAGUAACGCGUGGGUAACCUGCCUCAUACACAUGGAUAACAUACCGAAAGGUAUGCUAAUACAGGAUAAUAUAAGAGAUUCACAUGGAUUUCUUACCAAAGCUCCGGCGGUAUGAGAUGGACCCGCGUCUGAUUAGCUAGUUGGUAAGGUAAUGGCUUACCAAGGCGACGAUCAGUAGCCGACCUGAGAGGGUGAUCGGCCACAUUGGAACUGAGACACGGUCCAAACUCCUACGGGAGGCAGCAGUGGGGAAUAUUGCACAAUGGGCGAAAGCCUGAUGCAGCAACGCCGCGUGAGUGAUGAAGGCCUUCGGGUCGUAAAACUCUGUCCUCAAGGAAGAUAAUGACGGUACUUGAGGAGGAAGCCCCGGCUAACUACGUGCCAGCCGCCGC
rnacentral:rRNA from 1 species